GGUCGUGUGCCCGAGUGGUAAGGGAGCGGUCUGCAAAACCGCGUACACCGGUUCGAUCCCGGUCACGGCCU
rnacentral:tRNA from 1 species